UACGUAGGGUGCGAGCGUUGUCCGGAAUUACUGGGCGUAAAGAGCUCGUAGGUGGUUUGUCGCGUUGUUCGUGAAAACUCACAGCUCAACUGUGGGCGUGCGGGCGAUACGGGCAGACUGGAGUACUGCAGGGGAGACUGGAAUUCCUGUGUAGCGGUGAAAUGCGCAGAUAUCAGGAGGAACACCGGUGGCGAAGGCGGGGUCUCUGGGCCGAUACUGACGCUGGAGGAGCGAAAGCGUGGGGAGCGAACAGG
rnacentral:rRNA from 1 species